GACGAGCGCUGGCGGCGUGCUUAACACAUGCAAGUCGAACGGAAAGGCCCUGCUUUUGUGGGGUGCUCGAGUGGCGAACGGGUGAGUAACACGUGAGUAACCUGCCCUUGACUUUGGGAUAACUUCAGGAAACUGGGGCUAAUACCGGAUAGGAGCUCCUGCUGCAUGGUGGGGGUUGGAAAGUUUCGGCGGUUGGGGAUGGACUCGCGGCUUAUCAGCUUGUUGGUGGGGUAGUGGCUUACCAAGGCUUUGACGGGUAGCCGGCCUGAGAGGGUGACCGGCCACAUUGGGACUGAGAUACGGCCCAGACUCCUACGGGAGGCAGCAGUGGGGAAUAUUGCACAAUGGGCGGAAGCCUGAUGCAGCAACGCCGCGUGCGGGAUGACGGCCUUCGGGUUGUAAACCGCUUUCGCCUGUGACGAAGCGUGAGUGACGGUAAUGGGUAAGAAGCACCGGCUAACUACGUG
rnacentral:rRNA from 1 species